UACAGAGGUCUCAAGCGUUGUUCGGAUUCAUUGGGCGUAAAGGGUGCGUAGGCGGCGCGGUAAGUCGGGUGCGAAAUCUCGGGGCUUAACUCCGAAACUGCAUUCGAUACUGCCGUGCUUGAGGACUGGAGAGGAGACUGGAAUUUACGGUGUAGCGGUGAAAUGCGUAGAUAUCGUAAGGAAGACCAGUGGCGAAGGCGGGUCUCUGGACAGUUCCUGACGCUGAGGCACGAAGGCCAGGGGAGCAAACGGG
rnacentral:rRNA from 1 species